rnacentral:rRNA from 1 species
GACGAACGCUGGCGGCGUGCCUAAUACAUGCAAGUAGAACGCUGAAGGAGGAGCUUGCUUCUCUGGAUGAGUUGCGAACGGGUGAGUAACGCGUAGGUAACCUGCCUGGUAGCGGGGGAUAACUAUUGGAAACGAUAGCUAAUACCGCAUAAUAGCAGUUAUUGCAUGAUAACUGUUUGAAAGGUGCAAUUGCACCACUACCAGAUGGACCUGCGUUGUAUUAGCUAGUUGGUGGGGUAACGGCUCACCAAGGCGACGAUACAUAGCCGACCUGAGAGGGUGAUCGGCCACACUGGGACUGAGACACGGCCCAGACUCCUACGGGAGGCAGCAGUAGGGAAUCUUCGGCAAUGGACGGAAGUCUGACCGAGCAACGCCGCGUGAGUGAAGAAGGGUUUCGGAUCGUAAAGCUCUGUUGUAAGAGAAGAACGAGUGUGAGAGUGGAAAGUUCACACUGUGACGGUAGCUUACCAGAAAGGGACGGCUAACUACGUG